GAGUACUCCAAGUUUUUUUUUUUUCAAUUAGAAUGUAUAGCUAGCUACUGAUGAAUGCUUGCAUCUUCAUGAAAGCUUAAAUUUAACAAGAAAUUCCUUCAAAACCUCAAUGUGAAGAAGAAUUUCGAUUCACUUAAGUCCGAGGUUUCAUUGGCAUAUAUAAUGAUUUUUCUCUAGUUAUAAUCACUUUAUGCCCAAAAGAGAACAAGGAAAUAAAGAUGGAGAACCAAAUAACAUAUACAUAACCUGUCUUUGUGCUUCUCGCUCUU
rnacentral:misc_RNA from 1 species